CUGCGACUGAACGGAACUGAGCUGAAUGUCCCUGGAUGGCUUCUCUGACAGAGCGGGUACCUCCCACUCACCCCAGGAUGAUUCUUGCUCCUUUGCUUGGCUGCUGAGGUUGAAGGAAAUUCAGUGGUCAUGUCUGUGGCUCUCCAGCUGUUUCACUUUUUACUAUGGAUGCUAAAUAACCCAUGUUGAACGUUUCACCUGGUCGUGUCUUGAUGAGCAAGUGCACUGCUGGAUCUCAUAGGCACGUCAUACGUGGGCACAUUUUCCUGGAUGUCAUCUGCCUUGCAGAACACGCCCCUCUUCACUGUCGCCUGCACUCCCCUGACAGCUCAGCGCAUUUUUCUGGCAAUAGCGAGACCACCAAGCACCAGCAGGCUGACCAUGAAUACUGAGGAAGGCCGGUUUCCUCUAUACCUAAGAGCCUGGGGACACCUUUGGCAUUCUCCACUCUCAAAGAGCCUUCCUCUGUGAGGAGCUGCAGGAACGGAGCUGGGGAAAAGACCUACCUGUAGCGAAAGCAGAAUCACAGUGCCAGAA
ensembl:lncRNA